UAGUCCACGCCGUAAACGAUGUCUACUUGGAGGUUGGAAUCUUGAAUUCUGGCUUUCGGAGCUAGCGCGUUAAGUAGACCGCCUGGGGAGUACGGUCGCAAGAUUAAAACUCAAAUGAAUUGACGGGGGCCCGCACAAGCGGUGGAGCAUGUGGUUUAAUUCGAUGCAACGCGAAGAACCUUACCUACUCUUGACAUCUACAGAAGCCAGCGGAGACGCAGGUGUGCCUUCGGGAACUGUAAGACAGGUGCUGCAUGGCUGUCGUCAGCUCGUGUUGUGAAAUGUUGGGUUAAGUCCCGCAACGAGCGCAACCCCGUAUCCCUUGUUUGCCAGCACGUAAUGGUGGGAACUCCAGGGAGACUGCCGGUGAUAAACCGGAGGAAGGUGGGGACGACGUCAAGUCAUCAUGGCCCUUACGAGUAGGGCUACACACGUGCUACAAUGGCAUAUACAGAGGGCUGCAAACUAGCGAUAGUGAGUCGAAUCCCACAAAGUAUGUCGUAGUCC
rnacentral:rRNA from 1 species